rnacentral:rRNA from 1 species
AUGCGGGGGCGCGUGCUAUAAUGCAAGUCGAGCGAAUCUGAUGGGAGCUUGCUCCCUGAUGAUUAGCGGCGGACGGGUGAGUAACACGUGGGUAACCUGCCUGUAAGACUGGGAUAACUCCGGGAAACCGGGGCUAAUACCGGAUAACUUUUUUCUUCGCAUGAAGGAGAAUUGAAAGAUGGCUUCGGCUAUCACUUACAGAUGGACCCGCGGCGCAUUAGCUAGUUGGUGAGGUAACGGCUCACCAAGGCGACGAUGCGUAGCCGACUUGAGAGGGUGAUCGGCCACACUGGGACUGAGACACGGCCCAGACUCCUACGGGAGGCAGCAGUAGGGAAUCUUCCGCAAUGGACGAAAGUCUGACGGAGCAACGCCGCGUGAGUGAUGAAGGUUUUCGGAUCGUAAAACUCUGUUGUUAGGGAAGAACAAGUAUCGUUCGAAUAGGGCGGUACCUUGACGGUACCUAACCAGAAAGCCACGGCUAACUACGUGCCAGCAGCCGCGGUAAUACGUAGGUGGCAAGCGUUGUCCGGAAUUAUUGGGCGUAAAGCGCGCGCAGGCGGUUUCUUAAGUCUGAUGUGAAAUCUUGCGGCUCAACCGCAAGCGGCCAUUGGAAACUGGGAGACUUGAGUGCAGAAGAGGAGAGUGGAAUUCCACGUGUAGCGGUGAAAUGCGUAGAGAUGUGGAGGAACACCAGUGGCGAAGGCGACUCUCUGGUCUGUAACUGACGCUGAGGCGCGAAAGCGUGGGGAGCGAACAGGAUUAGAUACCCUGGUAGUCCACGCCGUAAACGAUGAGUG